rnacentral:lncRNA from 1 species
GGCAAACCCACCUACGUCAUCUAAAAUCCCAAAUGCCUCAAAGGAGGAAAAGAUGAGAAUUUACAAGUUUUGGAAUUGUAACUCAAUUUUUUAGAGGACUUAUGGCAAACUGUAAGGGAAAUACAUGCCUGCGUUGGAUGAGGUACAGGGCUGUGGAAACUGCCCGUUUUCUAUAUCAUCUGUAUGGAUGGAUUCCACAUGAAGGAUACAAAUUUCAUUCUCUUUAAAGCCACCAUCUACUGUUGAGAGCUCUGGUGACUUCACUCCCCUUCGCUCUGAUGUCAGUGUCUCUGCAGCAGAUUGUAAUGCAUCGCCUUCCUCCUCUUUGACAGGAGGAUCUAGGUUUACAGGACUAUCUUCUGAAAUUUCAAUGAUCUCACAGUCUUUAUCAGAAUUUUCUUCUUCAUUCUUAACAUCUGUAUCUGAAGAUUGACACAAGUCAGUGUGUUGGUUAUUUUUCAUAGAAAGAUCAAUUUCCAAAUACUUUGACAAAGCUUCUGUGCAUUUUUCCACAAUGUGAACCAUCUGAAGGUAACUGGCAGCAGUCAAGUAUUUCAAAAGCUCUUUUCUUUUUACUUCAAGUGCUCCAGUAUAGCAGGACAACAGCAACUUCCUGCCAACUUCUGCACUCUGCAGAAUGGUAAUUCUGAUGUGUUUUGACUGUGUGAGUAAAAACUGAUCUCUCAUAAAAGUGGAGCAAGCAGCCAAAAUCACCUUGUGCCCCUGGAACUCAGUAUCGUUAAUAUAAAUCGAUACAUCACAAAAU